GCAGGAAGUGGGAUGCUAUUAGAGUUCUUUCCCCCCUCUCGUGGCGGAAGGACGUUUCGUAAAUUAGUCACGCUUUGUGCCAUCCCCUUUCUGCUCGACCCUGGGAGGAUAAAGGUUUGUGACCCACGUUGGAGGCAGGGUGAGAAGAAGAAACGAAUUGCAGACAGACUGUUGGACUACGCCCACGAGUUCGGAGUCUGAGAACUACCCCUGGAGUGGUCGUGUUGACUAACAACCUGUGGUGUUGUUUCUCCGUAUUGAUGGAGAACUGAGUUUCAAGAUAAACCUUUGACUUCGACUGUUGUGUCUCCUACUACAGGUGUAAAUAUCUAUUUAUUUAACCAAGAUAAGAACAAGUUGUACUUUUGUAUAUAUAGGACUGUAAAAUAAAGAAUUGUCUGGA